rnacentral:rRNA from 1 species
GGACUACCAGGGUUUCUAAUCCUGUUUGAUCCCCACGCUUUCGUGCCUCAGCGUCAAUAUUUGUGUAGCCAGCUGCCUUCGCAAUUGGUGUUCUAUGUCAUAUCUAUGCAUUUCACCGCUACAUGACAUAUUCCGCUAACCUCCACAACAUUCAAGAUCUAUAGUAUCAACGGCAGUUUCCGAGUUAAGCUCGGAGAUUUCACCACUGACUUACAGAUCCGCCUACGCACCCUUUAAACCCAGUGAAUCCGGAUAACGCUUGCACCCUCCGUAUUACCGCGGCUGCUGGCAC